rnacentral:rRNA from 1 species
GCAGCCCUANCAUGCNAGUCGAGCGGUAACAGAAAGUAGCUUGCUACUUUGCUGACGAGCGGCGGACGGGAUGAGUAAUGCUUGGGAACAUGCCUUGAGGUGGGGGACAACAGAUUGGAAACGACUGCUAAUACCGCAUAAUGUCUACGGACCAAAGGGGGCUUCNGCUCUCGCCUUUANAUUGGCCCAAGUGGGAUUANCUANUUGGUGAGGUAAUGGCUCACCAAGGCAACGAUCCCUAGCUGGUUUGAGAGGAUGAUCAGCCACACNGGAACUGAGACACGG